ACUGCACGGGAGAGGGGGCCGGAGGCUGCAUGUGCGCAGCUCCGCCCGCGGAUCCCCGAAGCCCGCUCGCAGCAUCCCGCGGAUCCCGGCCAGCGCAGCGAGGGAACGCCGCCCGCCGCCUGCCAUGGACGAGGGCAUCUCCCGCCUGCCCGAGCGGCAGCUGCUGGAGCACCGCGAUUUCCUAGGGCUGGAGUACCCGGCGCUCUACAUGUGCAAGCCCAAGCGCGGCGUGAAGCGGGACGAGAGCAAGGAGACGUACAAACUGCCGCACCGGCUGAUCGAGAAGAAGCGGCGGGACAGGAUCAACGAGUGCAUCGCGCAGCUGAAGGACCUGCUGCCCGAGCACCUCAAGCUCACGACGCUGGGGCACCUGGAGAAGGCGGUGGUGCUGGAGCUGACGCUGAAGCACCUGAAGGCGCUGACGGCGCUGACGGAGCAGCAGCACCAGAAGAUCGUCGCGCUGCAGAGCGGGGAGCGCUCCGUCAAGUCUCCGGUGCAGGCCGACCUGGACGCUUUCCACUCGGGCUUUCAGACGUGCGCCAAGGAGGUGCUGCAGUUCCUGUCCCGCUCCGAGAGCUGGACCCCCCGCGAGCAGCGCUGCGCCCAGCUCCUCGGCCACCUGCACGCCGUCUCCUCGCAGUUCCUGCCCGGCCCGCGGCUCCUCUCGCCGCCGCCGGGCCCGCUCGCCAAGGGACCCUCCUCCUCUUCCUCCCCGCCCGCCCCGCUCCGCGCGCCGGCCCGCAAGCCGGAGGGCCAGGCGCACUGCGUGCCCGUCAUCCAGCGGACUCACGCCGCCGAGCCGGGCGCCGAGACCGACACGGACACGGACAGCGGCUACGGCGGCGAGGCCGAGGCGCGGCCGGAGCGCGGCGCGGGGCCGGCGGGGCCGCUCCCCGCGCUGCCCGUCAAGCAGGAGCCGGCGGGGGACGAGGCGCCGCCCGCGCCCAAGCGGCCGAGGCUGGAGCGGGGCGGCAGCCCCCCGCCCGGCGCCGCCCUGCCCGGCGCUGCCCGCGGCGCCGACGCCGCGCUGCUGAGCUCGCUGAUGGCGCUGGGCGCGGGCGGCGGCGCGGCGCCCUUCGGACAGCCGGCGGCCCCCUUCUGCCUGCCCUUCUACUUCAUCUCCCCCUCGGCCGCCGCCGCCUACGUGCAGCCCUUCCUGGAUAAGGGCGGCCUGGAGAAGUACCUCUACCCCGCCGCCCCCAUCCCGCUGCUCUACCCCGGCAUCCCGGCGCAGGCGGCCGCCGCCGCCGCCGCGGCCGCCGCGGCCGCCGCCUCCUUCCCCUGCCUCUCGUCCGUGCUCGGCCCCGCCGAAAAGGCGGCCGGGCUGUCCCCGGCGCCCCACCUGCCGCCCCCCUUCGCCGCCGCCGCCGCCGCGGUGCCCGCCGCCGAGCCCGGCGAGGAAGCGGAGCCCGCGGCCGCCGAGGAGCCCGGCGCCGAAGGGCCGUGAGCGCGGAGGGCGGGCGGGAGGCGGCGCCGGAGGGGCCCGCGGAGCCCCCCGCGCCGCUGCCCCGCAGAGGACCGUCCCGGACGAAAUUUGCUACUCAGUAUUUUUUUAAUGUUUGGCUUUAUAAGUGCAUACAUAUGUUAAGGAAAAAAGAAAGAAAAAGAAGAAGGAAAGGAAGAGAAAUAGGAAAUAAAAUUAAGGAAGCUCUCCAACAGUAGCCUGCGUUUAUGUAAGAGAGACAUAGAGAGUGCUUCUUGCUCCCUCUUCUGGUUCCUCAGCACCAGUACCCCGCACUCGGCUGCACCGACAGAACGAAGCUGGAGUGCAGACAUCACAGCAAACUGUGGGACUCGUGCUGACUCCAGUGGUCCUUUGGGAUGCAAGAGGACGUAUAAACCGGGUGAAAAAAUAAGUUCUUUUCUUAAGCGGUUCAAACACGAUUGUUAAGAAGUAGGUGUGUGUCUCUUUGUAUAGAAACUAUAGUAACAGUAAUUUGUACUAGAAAAAGAUAUCACAGAAAGAUGCCAAUCUGAUUUUUCCCAUUCAGUCUCAGGGCUGCUACUUCACACCCCCGUGCCUGUCGAGAUCAGUUGCUGAAAGCAAAGCGUAUCGAAGGCAAUGUUAAAAACUGCUGCUGGUCAGGGAUGCCACUGUUGUGUGCAUGGGGCUGGCACGGGGAUGAAAGGGAGCUGGGUGCAGCCCUAAUGCUCUGCAGCUCACCAGCCACUUUGCUUUAACCUGCAUAGCUAAAGAGCUACGCUGGGCUGGCCGUGCUCGUGUACCCUCACGCCAGGGAGGGAAUGGGCCUUACCGUUCGUGAAGCCCUUCCUGCCCAUUUAUUACGUGCACAGGAACGGCAGAGCCAUGAGCACUGCUGAGAAGAGCCCAUGGCCGCCCCUCCCGCACAACUUGGGUGGUGUGAAACCCGAGUGAGGACCGGGCUCUGUGUCUUUGUCACGUUUCCAGCUUUUGGGAAUACGGAUCAGCUUAGAUUUCACUGGGCUGCAAACCGAGAUCCUUGCAGGGCUUUACCAGUUUCAGUGUUUACCGUGUACAAUAACAGGAUGGCUUAUUUUUAUUAGCCCUUGAAUCAAGCAUGCCAAAUGAUUUCAUGCCAAGUUACAGCGUUAAUGGAGUCUAUUAAUUUAUUACAUAAAACAUAAAGGCAAAAUAAAACCAAUGCCUAACAAAAGCAAACAGGUUUAAAAGAGGCUUGUAAUUGGGGCUGAUAACCCACUGCUGCUGCAGGCAAAAGGUAAAUGCCAGGAGGGACCCGAAGAAUCAGCUCUUCAGGUUUUUAUUCAAUCCCAGGCUUCCUCAGAUCCCUUUGGAGCCUAAGCCAAACUGUAUGUUUUACAUUUUCUCAAAGUUAAAUGAUAUACUUAAACAACAGACAACAGCCUGGCAGGCUUAAAUAUAUAUUCACUUACAUGCAAAUAUCAGUGCUCAUUAUCCCUACCUACUUUCUGUCACUCCAUAAUACAUGGUGGAACUCUUACCUGUGCUUCCCAGGCGCUAUGAGCGCAGGACUGGCUGCUGUAUGUAUGGCAUAUGCUGGGAUAGAUACUGUGUUUCUCGUAAACCACAAGACACAACAUAAAGGGGUACAUGUAUUUUCUUAAGCAAAAAAAGUUUGAAAACAGGUCUUACUUACCCAGUAUAUUAUGACGGCACGGAAGGUUCCACCACAGUGUGCCAAAUAAAGAUUUUUAAGCCAGUGGAAGGUAAUAUCAUAUAACUCCCACUUAAGGCAAUGAAAGUUUUAUGUUUGGAAAGAUUACAGUUACAGAACUCAAAUUGACUAUUGACUCUGUUUAAGAAAGUCCAGACCUACCAAUUAAGUCAGUGUGAGUCUGUUUCUUGAGUGUAAUUGGUUUUGAAGUCGGUCCUAAGUCUAAGUUUUGGGGCUUAUUUGUUUCUUGGCUUGGUUUAAUUUUUGCUGCUAGUUGGACUGUGUUCAAUACUCAGCAAGCCUGGGGACUGCGUGCACUGCAGUGCUUCAGCACAGGCAAAUUUAUAGUCUGUGGGUCCCACAAUGUGUUUCCUUUCCUCUUCGAACAUCAGCUCCUGAAGUCAUGUGAUCUUUGCCUUGACUUGAGAAGUUUCCUGCCUGUUAGCUGCAGAAAUGUUCGUAAAACAUGACCUUAAAGAAAACAAGAAACAGA